rnacentral:rRNA from 1 species
GGUCAAGGAUGGACUCGCGGCCUAUCAGGUAGUUGGUGAGGUAAAGGCUCACCAAGCCUACGACGGGUAGCCGGCCUGAGAGGGUGACCGGCCACACUGGGACUGAGACACGGCCCAGACUCCUACGGGAGGCAGCAGUGGGGAAUAUUGCACAAUGGGCGCAAGCCUGAUGCAGCAACGCCGCGUGAGGGACGACGGCCUUCGGGUUGUAAACCUCUUUUAGUAGGGAAGAAGCGAAAGUGACGGUACCUGCAGAAAAAGCACCGGCUAACUACGUGCCAGCAGCCGCGGUAAUACGUAGGGUGCGAGCGUUGUCCGGAAUUAUUGGGCGUAAAGAGCUCGUAGGCGGUCUGUCGCGUCUGCUGUGAAAACCCGAGGCUCAACCUCGGGCCUGCAGUGGGUACGGGCAGACUAGAGUGCGGUAGGGGAGAAUGGAAUUCCUGGUGUAGCGGUGGAAUGCGCAGAUAUCAGGAGGAACACCGAUGGCGAAGGCAGUUCUCUGGGCCGUAACUGACGCUGAGGAGCGAAAGCGUGGGGAGCGAACAGGAUUAGAUACCCUGGUAGUCCACGCCGUAAACGUUGGGCGCUAGAUGUGGGGACCAUUCCACGGUUUCCGUGUCGCAGCUAACGC